UGUCUCCCCCUAUUCAUAUUCAUUCGACACGGACAGCAUCUUCCCGUGUGGACGCCAUUCUCCUUCUGACUGUCUGAAUGUAUAACCUGAAGUUGAGAUGUUGCCUCACCAGGGACCACGCCGUCUCAGGCCUUCUGCCGUUGGAAUCCAUCAAUCUGCAGAUCCAGCAGGGAGUUAAAAAGUCGCUUUGAAGGCUCGCCCCGGGCCCACGUCAGCCACGAGGACGAGACA